UACGUAGGGUGCAAGCGUUGUCCGGAAUUAUUGGGCGUAAAGAGCUCGUAGGCGGUCUGUCGCGUCUGCUGUGAAAACCCGGGGCUCAACCCCGGGCUUGCAGUGGAUACGGGCAGACUAGAGUUCGGUAGGGGAGACUGGAAUUCCUGGUGUAGCGGUGAAAUGCGCAGAUAUCAGGAGGAACACCGGUGGCGAAGGCGAGUCUCUGGGCCGAUACUGACGCUGAGGAGCGAAAGCGUGGGGAGCGAACAGG
rnacentral:rRNA from 1 species